GCAUCAUUGGUCUAGUGGUAGAAUUCAUCGUUGCCAUCUGAUUCCCUGUAUACAUGGGUAGUCAUGUGAUCUUAACUCGAUGAGGCCCGUGUUCGAUUCACGGAUGAUGCA